GUCCUCUAAUAGGCUGCAUGCUAUCUACACGUGCUGUCCACGUGCUUGUACAAGCAUUUGCAUUGGUUAAUUGUAUUUAAUUGUAUUAAAUACAUUUAAAUUCUACAGGCAUUUGUAUUGGUUAAUUGUAUAUAAAAGCCCCAAACUUGCCAAACUACAUUAUCCCAUAUCUUGCUUUGUUCAAACUGGUAUGCUUUUGCUGACCACAGGUGUUUGUUUUUUGCUAUCUGUACAGCUACUUCUUCUUUUGCUAGCUUUGCCUUUGGCCUUGAAUCCACCUGUCUGCAUUAACUCCUGUCUAAUGGACUCCUCCACCAACCCCAAAUGGGGUGCAGUCAACAGAUUGCUAAAUAGUUGUCAAUAAGUCAACUAAUUAUUUUUCAGAAGAACUUAGCAUGGGAGACUUAUCCUCUGCCCAUGUGCUGGGGGGUGUUGUGUUAUUAUUUUGUUGACAGCUGCUUUGUUACUGCAGGCCCUCGUGGAUGUCUCCUGGACUAGCAGGGCUGGGGCAGGAGCCAGCUGCCACGGUUUGAGGAAGCUGAGCUCUCCUCAGAGUUUGAGGUUCACUUUGUCUCUCCAGGUUGACAGGAACAAGAAGGAUGCUCUCAGAAACACGGCGAAGGUUGUUCAAAGGGCUGGCAAGCUUGGUGCCAAAUCCACACAGCAUGCUGGCCACACUGCUCAGCAGAAGUCUUCAAGUACCUCCCAGAGAGCAGUGGUGGUGCGUCCUGAGCAGCUGAAAAAGAGGACAAAUCUUCCCACGGGGCUUGUGCCAAGAACAAGCCACACUAUACAGGCCAGAGGAAGGCUCCCAACUUCAAACUCUGGUCACCAAAAUCCAGCAAUGAACAAGAAGCCUGCACAGGAGACUGUUAGUGCUGCAGCACCUCAGACUAGUAGUGACCACUCCCCUCCUGGGGCACCUUGCUCCCUAACUGAGGGCCUGCAGGACAGGACAGGCUGCAACAAAGAAAACGUCCAAGCACAAGCCUCUACACAGCCUGUGCUGAACACAGUUUUUCAGUCUGAUGGAAACAAUCUUGGGAACAAGAGACUCUUGGGUCACAGGCAAAGCUCAGCCAGGAUGUCAAGAACCAUCACAGGCCAAAAGGACAGAAUUAAUAGCCGUCAGGCUAAGGAAGAGCCUAUUCAGGAUAAAUUCAGGAAAACUCUGCCAGGCUCAAAAAGCACAUCUCAAAAAACAAGUGUCAAAACUGAGCUGUUGCAGCCCCCUCUGUUACUUACUGCUUCUACUAAUUUGCUACAUAAAAAACCAGGGGCAAACCAGGAAAAAACUAAUCCGGCAAGGCAACCCGUAGGAAAGCCACUCGGCAUGCUUCCAGGGGGAAAUCUUAAGUGCCACAGUAGACCACCCCAAAUGAAAAGAUCUCCUGUAAAACCUGCAGCCUCCAGCAGGCCCCAGGGGACCACAAACCUGAAACCCAGCCUGAAGCCAUGUGGCCCCACGCAAGGGCAAAGGCCCGCGGCUAACAGGGAGGCGGGUAGGAAGGAUGUGAAGGUGGUACCUGUCGGACGCACAGCAUCAUCCCAAGCUACAGUCCCCCAAAACCACCCUCACAGCACACACAGUUCUGAAACUCAAGCAAUUAAGACUGAUUUUACAAGUAGGAGAGAGAAGCUUAAGUCAGAGCUGCCAAAGGCAAGCGGCACACAGACUAGGCGUUUUCCCAAGAUCCCAUCCGCUGCAGAUCGUAAGAAACAGCUGGAGGAGUGGUUGGCAUCCAAAGGCAAGACAUACAAGCGGCCACCUAUGACACUACUCCAGAAGAAGCCACUGAAACUGUCCUGGAGAAAUGACAUGGUGGAAGAGAAGCAAGAGAAACCAGAGCAGCUCUGCCUGGAGGAGACCAGCAACAUAUUAACUGAGUGCCUGAAGCUCAUUGAGGAGGUGAUAAUGGGAAAGGAGCUGCUUGAACCUUCUUCUGGAGCAUACCAGUUGAGGGCCAUGUCCCCAAGCAGCACCGAGGUGUUGGGAGCGUUCUUGCUCCCUUGGCUGCAGUUGCCAGAGGGGUAACAUCGUAUGUAGGGAAAGUAAAAGUCCCCGUGGAGUUACAUAGAGGCCAAAGGCACACAGUGAGCUGUGCUAAGGGGGAAAACAGAGCAAUACCCAGUCACAGGGCUCGCAUGGGUCCUCGCUGGUGUCCUGGUACCUGGCAGCAUGGUCUGCAGCAGGAAUUUCUGCAGCAGCAGCCCGGGCUGAUGGAGCCAGCAAGAGGUAUGUCCCUGGUGGACCUCACAGCUGCCAGGGAGGAUCAUCCCAGCAAUGCUGAGCACCAGCACUGUGCCAGGACUUAGUGGCUCUGCUGAUGCCAGCACUGAAGAGUCUAUCCCUCAACACCCCUCUAGACUUGUUCUACCAAGGGGAAAAUAGAGGCAGAAAAGCUGUUACCUGUCCAGGGUCACAUAGGAGACAAAACCCAGACUCUUCAGACCCUCCUUUUCCUAGAGAAGUGCUGGGAGAGCAGCUUCUCCAGUGCACACCUCUGGCCCUUGCAAUUACAUCUCUCUCCAGGACAUUGCCCUUCUUCUUGUAGGGUGCCAAGACAGAGGACCUCUCUGCAAUGUUGUCCCAAGUGCCCCAGGCAGAGAAAUUCGCCAAGUUCUGGAUUUGCAAAGUGAAACUGCUGGCCCGCGGUGGCCCUUUUGAUGUGAUGGGGUUGUACAGAGCUGCAGUCUGUGCUGGUGCUGUGGUGAGUGAGGCACGCUUCUCUUCAGCAGCUCCCUGUCUCUGUACCCCCCCUGUUUCCUCAAGAUCUAGGGGUUGGAUUUUGGGAUGAGUUUAGAAGCACUAGUCACUGGUAAAAAAGCCUUUUAGAGCUGCUAGUCCAGUUUUGUCACGUGGAAACAACUUUGGCUCCAAUCAGCCAAGCAGGCAGUGCCAUGCGGGCACGAACGGGGCCGGGGGAGGAUGAGGAGGACACACACACCCUGCACUGUGUCAGAGUUUUAGCUGGAAGCAGCAUGAUGGCAGCUCU
rnacentral:lncRNA from 1 species